rnacentral:rRNA from 1 species
UACGUAGGUGGCAAGCGUUGUCCGGAUUUACUGGGCGUAAAGAGCGCGCAGGCGGUCGUUCAAGUCGCGUGUGAAAGCCCCCGGCUCAACUGGGGAGGGUCACGCGAUACUGAUCGACUCGAAGGCAGGAGAGGGUAGUGGAAUUCCCGGUGUAGUGGUGAAAUGCGUAGAUAUCGGGAGGAACACCAGUGGCGAAGGCGGCUCACUGGACUGGUACUGACGCUGAGGCGCGAAAGCGUGGGGAGCAAACGGGG